GGGAUUGGGCCCCGGCCCCAAAUUCUUCCGGGGGGCAGACAACCAAGGAAAUUUUUGGCAAAUGGGCGCAAGCCUGACCGAACCACCGCCGCCGUGGAGGGAUGACCGGUUCUUGGGUUGUAAAAUUCCUUUUGGGGGGGGACGAUUAAUGACGGUACCCCUCCGAAUUCAGGCCCCGGCUAACUACGUGCCAGCAGCCGCGGUAAUACGUAGGGGCCAAGCGUUGUCCGGAAAUUACUGGGCGUAAAGCGUGGGUAGGUGGUCGGUGAUGUGCCGCGUGAAAGCGCCGGAGUAAUGCCGGCGAGGUCGCGGUAGACACAACGACUCAAGGCUCGCAGAGGAACGUGGAAUUCCCGGUGUAGUGGUGAAAUGCGUAGAUAUCGGGAGGAACACCAGUGGCGCAAGCGGCGUUCUGGGCGAGACCUGACACUGAGCCACGACGGCGUGGGGAGCAAACAGGAUUAGAUACCCUGGUAGUCCACGCAGUAAACGAUGCAUACCAGGUGUGGGAUGGCGUUCGCGUCGUUCCGUGCCGCAGCUUACGCGAUGAGUAUGCCGCCUGGGGACUACGAGCGCAAGCUUAAAACUUAAAGGAAUUGACGG
rnacentral:rRNA from 1 species